rnacentral:ncRNA from 1 species
AGCUUUUUGUAGGAAAAUAAAUUUCUGUGAAAGCAGAAUUAAAAAAUAAAGCAAGUUCAUGGGAUUGUGAUUGAUUAAAAUUACUAAAGGUCAUAGCAAGUUGUGUCACUGCUUGAAAGUGAUGACUAUGUAAAACUUUUCUCUGCAAGAUGCUGAGCUUCUCCUGAAAAUGCUGAGCACUUUUAGCUAAGAGUAAUCCUCUACUAGCUGGCAACCUUAAACUUUCCAACAGCAUCAGCAGCAUCAGUAGCCUGGAUCAGAUACUAUGCAAAAAGAAGAAGCCGGAGCAAGACGAACCAAAGUGAAAGCAUUUGCCAAGAAUGUUUUCAUUAAUCAAGAACGAAAGUCGGAGGUUCGAAGACAAUCAGAUACCGUCGUAGUUCCGACCAUAAAUGAUGCCGACUAGCGAUCCGGCGGUGUUAUUCCCAUGACCCGCUGGGCAGCUUCCGGGAAACCAAAGUCUUUGGGU